AGGGUUUGAUUAUGGCUCAGGAUGAACGCUGGCGGCGUGCUUAAUACAUGCAAGUCGAACGAAGCACCUUGGACAGAAUCCUUCGGGAGGAAGACCAUUGUGACUGAGUGGCGGACGGGUGAGUAACGCGUGGGUAACCUGCCUUGUACCGGGGGAUAACAGCUGGAAACGGCUGCUAAUACCGCAUAAGCGCACAGAGCUGCAUGACUCGGUGUGAAAAACUCCGGUGGUAUGGGAUGGGCCCGCGUCUGAUUAGGCAGUUGGCGGGGUAACGGCCCACCAAACCGACGAUCAGUAGCCGGCCUGAGAGGGCGACCGGCCACAUUGGGACUGAGACACGGCCCAA
rnacentral:rRNA from 1 species